rnacentral:rRNA from 1 species
AUUGAACGCUGGCGGCAUGCUUUACACAUGCAAGUCGAACGGUAACAGGCCGCAAGGUGCUGACGAGUGGCGAACGGGUGAGUAAUGCAUCGGAGCGUGCCCAGUCGUGGGGGAUAACGCAGCGAAAGCUGUGCUAAUACCGCAUACGAUCUGUGGAUGAAAGCGGGGGACCGUAAGGCCUCGCGCGAUUGGAGCGGCCGAUGUCAGAUUAGGUAGUUGGUGGGAUAAAGGCUCACCAAGCCGACGAUCUGUAGCUGGUCUGAGAGGACGACCAGCCACACUGGGACUGAGACACGGCCCAGACUCCUACGGGAGGCAGCAGUGGGGAAUUUUGGACAAUGGGCGCAAGCCUGAUCCAGCAAUGCCGCGUGCAGGAAGAAGGCCUUCGGGUUGUAAACUGCUUUUGUACGGAGCGAAAAGGCUCUCUCUAAUACAGGGGGCUCAUGACGGUACCGUAAGAAUAAGCACCGGCUAACUACGUGCCAGCCGCCGCUGUAA